UGGGGGAUAUUGCACAAUGGGCGAAAGCCUGAUGCAGCGACGCCGCGUGGGGGAUGAAGGCCUUCGGGUUGUAAACUUCUUUUGCUCUGAACAAGGCAUGCUAAUGGGUGUGUUGUGUGUAGGGGUUGAUUAGCGCCGGCUAACUACGUGCCAGCAGCCGCGGUAAUACGUAGGGCGCGAGCGUUGUCCGGAAUUAUUGGGCGGAAAGGGCUUGUAGGUGGCUGGUUGCGUCUGUCGUGAAAGCUCAUGGCUUAACUGUGGGUUUGCGGUGGGUACGGGCUGGCUUGAGUGCAGUAGGGGAGUCUGGAAUUCCUGGUGUAGCGGUGGAAUGCGCAGAUAUCAGGAGGAGUACCGGUAGCGAAGGCGGGUCUCUGGGCUGUUACUGACACUGAGGAGCGAAAGCAUGGGGAGCGAACAGG
rnacentral:rRNA from 1 species